rnacentral:misc_RNA from 1 species
UGUGGAAGCGGGCUUGCUCGCGAUGCAGGCGCCCCGGUUUGGCUGAAGAACCGGAUUGAUACCAUCGCGAGCAAGCCCGCUCCCACA